GCUGGCGGCGUGCUUAACACAUGCAAGUCGAGCGAGGCCUGGGGGGCAACUCCCAGAGUCGAGCGGCGGACGGGUGAGUAACACGUGGGUAACCUGCCCGGAAGUGGGGAAUACCUCGGGGAAACUCGAGCUAAUACCGCAUGACAUCUUCGGGACGAAAGUCCUGACGAUCAAAGCGGGGUCGCAAGAUCUCGCGCUACCGGAUGGGCCCGCGCCCGAUUAGCUAGUUGGUGAGGUAACGGCUCACCAAGGCUUCGAUCGGUAACCGGCCUGAGAGGGCGAUCGGUCACACCGGAACUGAGACACGGUCCGGACUCCUACGGGAGGCAGCAGUGGGGAAUCUUGCGCAAUGGGCGAAAGCCUGACGCAGCAACGCCGCGUGGAGGAUGAAGGCCCUUGGGUUGUAAACUCCUGUCGGCUGGGAAGAAACCGUACGGUGCUCAUACCAUCGUGCGUUGACUGUACCAGCAA
rnacentral:rRNA from 1 species